GACGAACGCUGGCGGCGUGCUUAACACAUGCCAGUCGAACGGAAAGGCCCUGCUUUUGUGGGGUGCUCGAGUGGCGAACGGGUGAGUAACACGUGAGUAACCUGCCCUUGACUUUGGGAUAACUUCAGGAAACUGGGGCUAAUACCGGAUAGGAGCUCCUGCUGCAUGGUGGGGGUUGGAAAGUUUCGGCGGUUGGGGAUGGACUCGCGGCUUAUCAGCUUGUUGGUGGGGUAGUGGCUUACCAAGGCUUUGACGGGUAGCCGGCCUGAGAGGGUGACCGGCCACAUUGGGACUGAGAUACGCCCCAGACUCCUACAGGAGGCAGCGGUGGGGAAUAUUGCACAAUGGGCGGAAGCCGGAUGCAGCAACGCCGCGGGCGGGAUGACGGCCUUCGGGUUGUAAACCGCUUUCGCCUGUGACGAAGCGUGAGUGACGGUAAUGGGUAAAGAAGCACCGGCUAACUACGUG
rnacentral:rRNA from 1 species